AACUCUAGUUCAAUUUUGUUGAUUCAGAUUACUUGAAUCUUGCAGUUGUCAGUUCAUGCAGACAGUAUUGGUUAAGAAAGACUAGUUCAACUUGGUUGAUGUAGAUUACAUGCUGUUAGUAGUUCAACUUGGUUGAUUUAGAUUAUAUGAAUCUUGUUGUUAGUGGUUCAACUUGGUUGAUGUUGAUUACAUGAAUCUUGCCGUUAGCAGUUCAACUCUUGUUCAACUUGGUUGAUUCUGAUUACACAAACCUUGCUGUUAGCAGUUCAACUCUAGUUCAAGUUGGGUGAUGUUGAUUACAUGAAUCUUACUGUUAGCAGUUCAAUUCUUGUUCAACUGGGUUGAUUUUGAUGACAUGAAUAUUGCCGUUAGCAGUUCAUGCCAUUUCUGCAAUACAGUUAGGUUGCUUAUGGUAAAUUUUGACCUAUUGAUGCUUAUGGUAAUUUUUGACAGUUCAUGCCGACAGUAUUUGUUAAGAAACACUAUACAUCUUAGGUUUGGACAUUGGCAUCUUCUGGUAUUGCCCACUAAUUGCUGGGUUGUUACAUUACUACCUUCCUUAUCCUCCUUUUCUGCAACACAGUUCAUCAUGUCAUAUUUGCUCUGCUUUCAGCACCUUCUACUACAAUCAUAAUUCAACAUCUCUUGAUAACCAAGUUGUCAUGCUUGAUGUCUGAACAAAGCUGACUAAUACAUCUCUUGAUAACCAAGUUGUCAUGCUUGAUGUCUGAACAAAGGUGGCUAACACCUCUCUUGAUAACCAAGUUGUCAUGCUUGAUGUCUGAACAAAGAACGAAGGCUCGCGAGGAGCCCGGCUUUGAAUUAACAAAGCCAUCAACCGGCCAGGAGUUACAGCAAACAACCAAAUUACAGCGGUCAGAAGGAUACAAUGGGAACACUGGACUGAAACGCUAACUACAACCUCCACAAGCAGCUAAAGCAAAGGAAAUUAAGAUUACAGCUUGCAAAGGCCGAGCACUCCACACUAGGAUCAUAUGAGGAAAAGCAGAGCAGCAAAGCAGGGCAUAUCUGACCUUCAAAGAUGGCCAUGCUCCAGGAACACCUAGAGAAGAAGGGGAACAACAUCUUCCAUCUCAAUCACCGAAGAGGGACCCUACCCCCUCGCCAUGGCUCGUAGGCGCCGCACCGUUGGGGUUUCGAGGAGCUCACCCUAGAGCUCGAAGAAUGCCGCCCUCACAUCGGAAGGUGGACAUAGUGCGACCACUUCAAUUUGGGAUAUCCCUAGCCGGCCGCUCCGCCACGGUCCAUGCCCAGCUAGGUGGAAAUAUGCUUCGUGGAAUCGGACGAUGAAGAGGAGGCAGCUCCGUCCCUCACCUGCAGCGCCUCCCGACCGCAUCCCGCCUCCCUAACGGCGCCUCCAGCAAGGUCACGGUGCGCAAGGCGGCGCCGCCGCCAAAUCCGAGAGGAUAUAAGGUUUUCACCCGGGCAGGGUGGGUCGGGGUGGAAGCAGGGGACCUCGGCUGCGCCCCCAUGGAGGAAAGCAGCGCCCUUGGGCGUUGCCGCCGCCGGACCGGCCGGACCGGCCAAGGUUUCCCCCGGUCCCCUAGCUGGCCACCAACUCGCACCAACGCCAGGGCCAGAGAGCAAAUCACAAGCCACCGCCGACGGCGAGAGAGAGGUAGCCGGGAAGGGAUUUCGAACCUCCAGAUCUGACGAAGAAUCUUCGCGCCGCGGCCGGAUUCCACCAACCACCCGCCGCCCGCGCGGCCAGGCACACUGGCCAGCACCCCUGCGAACGCCGCCCGCCGCCGCCGCCUCUCCGGUUGGGGCCGCCGCCCCAGGAACCGCAGGCCUCCGAGAGGGGCUGGAGCACCGAGAUCCUCGCCGCCACCUUCACCGGCGCCCGCGCAGGCUUCCCGGCGGCCGUCUCCGGUAGCGGCGAGGGGAAGAAGGGAGUGGAGGGGGGGGGGGGGUGGCGGCGGCCGCGGAACCCUAGUCGCCCCCGAGUCGCCCAGGGGGGCGACGCGAGGGCCGGGGGGGGGGUCAGAGUUGCCAGACACUGUUCUUUUAUUGCUGAAUAACUGCACAGAGGGGGAAGAUAAGUGUCAAUUUGUUGUGCUUUCCUACUAUGUUGUAGUAUUGGAGUAUUUGUGAAUUUAGGAUAUUUUGUUCUGAGCUUUUUAACUGGCAUAUGUAUGCGUUACUAGGGAAUUCAAUUACUUCUCGACUGUGAUUUCAUUGAUCAAUGGAGCAGUUAUAAUGUUAUUGCCCUUUCAGAAAUGGGAAGUUCCCUAUCUACUCUAGUUCAACUUCGUUGAGUUUGCAUUACAUGAAUCUUGUCGUUGGCAGUUCAGUAGCAUCCUAUUCUGGCUUAUGCUAAAUUCAACAGUUAAUGCCAACAGUAUUGGUUAAGAAACACUACAUCUUAAUUUCCUUAUGUUGCUGGAUUCAGCAUCUUCUUAAUUGGCCAACACUUCCUUAUUUGUGACAUUAUUGUGCGGUUUAUCUUCUUUUUAUGUAAUAGAUGUACCUUUCAUCUAGGCAUAUUUGCUCAACUUCGAACAUCUUCAAUUGCAAUCAUCAUUAAAAGCUAUCAUGCUUGAUCCGAACAUACAUGACAAACGUUUCACUCGCUAAUCAUGUUGGAUUACGUGUUGUGUGGUUUUCCUAUACCUCCAUAACUCAUAUCCUUGAUGGCGUUUAUUUUUGCAUCCUAUUCAGUUUAUAGUUGACUAAAGCAGUGACCAGCAAGUUUUAAAAUAAUAGCAUAUCACGCUAUCAGUUAAUUGGUUUUACUGUUCCAUUUCUGCUUAUUUUGGCUGACAAAGAUAUCCAGAAACUUCUGCACCUUCUGAAUGAUGUCCAUUUACCUGUCAUACUAGUCUAUUUGAAUUACUCGACACUUGCUACUUGUUGUUGGAAACUGGUCUUUGAUUAUUGGCAUCAUUCCUAAGAGACAUUCUUUGAGGUGAAACGUAUUGAAAUUCGACCAUCUCUCUGGUACGAAAUACGAACUGCUUCAUGCCUAUCUAAUUUCAGUUAGUAUUUUUUUUCCUAUGCUGCACUGCUGGUAGCCUAUACCACAUACUAUGAGUGGCACUGAUCAUGUUGUGAGAAUAAUGCCUGAAAGUAAUGUCUGCAAUAUGAAAAUAUCAACAAAUUUGAAGUAUCAGUUUUCAUAUAGCUUCUUGAAAAUGUUAGAACAGGGAUGUCAUGAAACUGUCAUGAGAAUUUAUGUGCUAUAGUUGAGUGCUUUUACAAUUCCUUGUUCUGAUGUUGUUAGUACUCGUGGACCACAUAUACAGUUAUGCCCUUGAACUGUGAUCUCAAGCAUAUUGUUCAUGCUGAAUUCAUGGUUCCUAAUUGGAAUACUGUACCACUCCCUCCGUUCCAAAAUAAGUGUCUUAACCUUAGUGUACAACUUUGUACUAAAGUUAGUACAAAGUUGAGACACUUAUUUUGGGAGGAGGGAGUAUUAUUUUCACUCAUUUAUUUUGCUGUGAUUUGUACUUCAUAAAUACCUGGGCAUCCUAACCUAGCCAUUUUGUGCUUGCUCCAUGAUGUGACCUGACCAUUUUGUGCAUUUUUCUGCCCUGAUCUCCACUUGAUACAAAUUUAUCCUAACUUUCUUGUUAGCUUAUCUGCUAAGUUAUGAAGGCCUAUAUAGCAUGAUGUGACCUGACCAUUUUGUGCAUUUUUCUGCCCUGAUCUCCACUUGAUACAAAUUUAUCCUAACUUUCUUGUUAGCGUAUCUGCUAAGUUAUGAAGGCCUAUAUAGCAUGUAAUUUGCAUAUAAUUCUGGAAUUACAAUUGGUCACCUGAAAAACGGCUCCACCUCAGUUUGUUUGCUGAUCUCAUCUCAUCAAGUUCUCGACCUAUUAAUCAGUCUUAUUACCCUGCAACCCUAUAUAGCUAAAAAGUUGCAUGUUCUGGAAGAAGUUUCAUGGCCCAUCUGCUUGUUUCGUGUAUCAAGUGAUUUUGCAUUCUGGAACUAACAAUAGCGAAGAAACAGUUGUUGAUGCCCUGUUGAUGCGAUGAGAUCAGCAAACAAAAUUUUAAGUAUGCACACCAGUUAAGUUGUUAGUUCCAGAUUGUAAUUUGUUUGCUGAUAUGAGUAAAUUUGUUGAUGCCCUGUUGAUUAGAUGGGAUCAGCAAACAACUUUUCCCCCACUAUUGUUAGUAACAAUAGCGAGAAGUAUUUAACCGUUAAUUGUUGACGCCCUGUUGUCUUACUUAAAAUCCAGUUUGCAUGUAGGAGCAGGACCAGCAACCUGCAUCCCCCUUGGCACCAUCUAAUGAGAAUCUACCAAUGAUAGUAGGGAUGUAAGUGGACGCAUCCACUUUACAUCCCUAAAUGAUAAAUCGAUCGCAAAUAACUAGCGUUGAACUGCAUGCGUUGCGCACUUGAUGUGAAACUGAGAAUCGCUUAAGCAAUAUGGGCCAGUAUUGACUGCAUCUCAAUGUAUGUUUCGUUCACCAUAUCUUUUUAGUCUGCAUUUUUCUGUUCAGAUCUCUACAUAGUUACUGAUGGGCAAGGCUCUGUGGCGCUGCGAGGCCAAGGAAGGAGUAUUUGACAUUUUGACUGCUGAGUUGUUGACGCUGCGAUGUUUUCCUCAGGCACAAUGGAUUAACCGACCACAGCUCCCGGAAAAAGUGAAGAAUGACGCGCGGAUCACGGACGGCCCUGGGACUCCGGAUGAGAACAAAGGUGAGUCAUCGGAGCGACGAGCAACUCAGACACGUUUCCCUUUCUUCUAACAUGA